GACGAACGCUGGCGGCGUGCCUAAUACAUGCAAGUCGAACGCUUCUUUCCUCCCGAGUGCUUGCACUCAAUUGGAAAGAGGAGUGGCGGACGGGUGAGUAACACGUGGGUAACCUACCCAUCAGAGGGGGAUAACACUUGGAAACAGGUGCUAAUACCGCAUAACAGUUUAUGCCGCAUGGCAUAAGAGUGAAAGGCGCUUUCGGGUGUCGCUGAUGGAUGGACCCGCGGUGCAUUAGCUAGUUGGUGAGGUAACGGCUCACCAAGGCCACGAUGCAUAGCCGGCCUGAGAGGGUGAUCAGCCACACUGGGACUGAGACACGGCCCAGACUCCUACGGGAGGCAGCAGUAGGGAAUCUUCGGCAAUGGACGAAAGUCUGACCGAGCAACGCCGCGUGAGUGAAGAAGGUUUUCGGAUCGUAAAACUCUGUUGUUAGAGAAGAGCAAGGACGUUAGUAACUGAACGUCCCCUGACGGUAUCUAACCAGAAAGCCACGGCUAACUACGUG
rnacentral:rRNA from 1 species